rnacentral:rRNA from 1 species
CGGUGGAUCACUCGGCUCGUGGAUCGAUGAAGAACGCAGCAAACUGCGCGUCAAAGUGUGAACUGCAGGAC